rnacentral:lncRNA from 10 species
GGGCUUUUAGGAAAGUCAGUCUGCUUUUGAUGAGGAGGUUCAGGAAGGCAUUAUUUGUCUCAAUCUAUCCCCUCUCCCCAACAGUGAACAAGAAAGCAGAUAUCCUUGCUGACUGUUGGCAGCCGUUGUGGGACCACAAAGGCACCAGCCUCAGGAGAUGGGAAGACUGAGUUGCCAGGGACGUUGCUGAGCCAUUAGAGCCAUCCUUACCCACAAGCCCACCCCACCUUGGGACUUCCUCUUGGAACAUGUCACCUUCCCAUGUUUUCCAAGUCAUAAAAGUAGUACAUGUCCAUCACAGACAAAUGGGGAGUGCAGAAAAGCACAAAGAAUAAAACAGAGACAGCAGGGUUCAGGCUUCGAGUUGUGGUGCAAUUGGCCCACAUCCACCCCACCCUCUCUUCACGCAGCAGAUGACUGGGACAUAAAGAAGCUGAUGGGGCCACUGCCACCGAAUUUCCACCUGCAGCCCUUCUCGGGGGCCACCACCAUGCUCCUCAACAGCUGUCACUGACAGGACAGAGCUUGAGGAUCUUGAGGAGCUACUGACCCUGCAGAACCGCUCUGAGACCAGGGGGAGCUUUUCCAGGUGAAACGAUUCAUGGCUAGGCUGAUUUAACUAAUGGGUUUUUCAUCAGAGUAAUACAUAUUCAGAUAUGUCCCAUGCUCAGUGAUGGCAUCAAGCAAUGUCAGGAUUAGAUGGGAAAUUAGAGGCAAUUUGCUCCAAGUGUCUACUUGUGUACCCUCCACAGA